rnacentral:rRNA from 1 species
UACGGGAGGCAGCAGUGGGGAAUCUUCCGCAAUGGGCGAAAGCCUGACGGAGCAACGCCGCGUGAGUGAAGAAGGGUUUCGGCUCGUAAAGCUCUGUUGACGGGGACGAAUGUGCGAAAUGUGAACAGUUUUUCGCAAUGACGGUACCCGUCGAGGAAGCCACGGCUAACUACGUGCCAGCAGCCGCGGUAAU